AUANUGGUCAAUGGACGCGAGUCUGAACCAGNCAAGUAGCGUGAAGGAUGACUGCCCUAUGGGUUGUAAACUUCUUUUAUAUGGGAAUAAAGUGAGGAACGUGUUCCUUUUUGUAUGUACCAUAUGAAUAAGCAUCGGCUACCUCCGUGCCAGCAGCCGCGGUAAUACGGAGGAUGCGAGCGUUAUCCGGAUUUAUUGGGUUUAAAGGGAGCGUAGGCGGGUUGUUAAGUCAGUUGUGAAAGUUUGCGGCUCAACCGUAAAAUUGCAGUUGAUACUGGCAUCCUUGAGUACAGUAGAGGUAGGCGGAAUUCGUGGUGUAGCGGUGAAAUGCUUAGAUAUCACGAAGAACUCCGAUUGCGAAGGCAGCCUGCUGGACUGUAACUGACGCUGAUGCUCGAAAGUGUGGGUAUCAAA
rnacentral:rRNA from 1 species